CAAGCUGUGAUGGGGAGGGAAAUAAUAGUACCGAAGUUCCUGAUGUCACACUGCCGAGAAAAGCUUCUAGUGAGAAAACAGCGGCCCGUACCGCAAACCGACACAGGUAGUCGAGGAGAGAAUCCUAAGGUGAGCGAGAGAACUCUCGUUAAGGAACUCGGCAAAAUGACCCCGUAACUUCGGGAGAAGGGGUGCUGAUCAUACGAUCAGCCGCAGUGAAUAGGCCCAAGCGACUGUUUAUCAAAAACACAGGUCUCUGCAAAAUCGUAAGAUGAAGUAUAGGGGCUGACGCCUGCCCGGUGCUGGAAGGUUAAGAGGAGUGCUUAGCGCAAGCGAAGGUACGAAUUGAAGCCCCAGUAAACGGCGGCCGUAACUAUAACGGUCCUAAGGUAGCGAAAUUCCUUGUCGGGUAAGUUCCGACCCGCACGAAAGGCGUAACGAUUUGGGCACUGUCUCAACGAGAGACUCGGUGAAAUUUUAGUACCUGUGAAGAUGCAGGUUACCCGCGACAGGACGGAA
rnacentral:rRNA from 1 species